UACGUAGGGUGCGAGCGUUAAUCGGAAUUACUGGGCGUAAAGCGCGCGCAGGCGGUUUUGCAAGCCGGAUGUGAAAUCCCCGGGCUCAACCUGGGAAUGGCAUUCGGGACUGCAAGGCUGGAGUGCGGCAGAGGAGACUGGAAUUCCUGGUGUAGCAGUGAAAUGCGUAGAUAUCAGGAGGAAUACCGAUGGCGAAGGCAGGUCUCUGGGCUGACACUGACGCUCAUGCACGAAAGCGUGGGGAGCAAACAGG
rnacentral:rRNA from 1 species